AAUGAACGCUGGCGGCAGGCCUAACACAUGCAAGUCGAACGGAUCCUUCGGGAUUAGUGGCGGACGGGUGAGUAACGCGUGGGAACAUACCCUUUGGUACGGAAUAGCCUCGGGAAACUGGGAGUAAUACCGUAUGUGGUCGAGAGACGAAAGAUUUAUCGCCAAAGGAUUGGCCCGCGUUGGAUUAGGUAGUUGGUGGGGUAAUGGCCUACCAAGCCGACGAUCCAUAGCUGGUUUGAGAGGAUGAUCAGCCACACUGGGACUGAGACACGGCCCUGACUCCUACGGGAGGCAGCAGUGGGGAAGCUUAGACAAUGGGGGAAACCCUGAUCUAGCCAUGCCGCGUGAUCGAUGAAGGCCUUAGGGUUGUAAAGAUCUUUCAGGUGGGAAGAUAAUGACUGUACCACCAGAAGAAGCCCCGGCUAACUCCGUGCCAGCAGCCGCCGUAACAC
rnacentral:rRNA from 1 species